rnacentral:rRNA from 1 species
CCUACGGGUGGCUGCAGUGGGGGAUAUUGCACAAUGGGGGGAACCCUGAUGCAGCGACGCCGCGUGGGUGAAGGAGUGCUUCGGCAUGUAAAGCCCUAUCGGCAGGGAAGAAGCAAGACGGUACCUGACUAAGAAGCCCCGGCUAACUACGUGCCAGCAGCCGCGGUAAUACGUAGGGGGCGAGCGUUAUCCGGAUUUAUUGGGUUUAAAGGGUGCGCAGGCGGAGGUGCAAGUCAGCGGUAAAAUUGCGGGGCCCAACCCCGUACUGCCGGUGAAACUGCAUCCCUUGAGUGCGCGAGAAGUAUGCGGAAUGCGUGGUGUAGCGGUGAAAUGCAUAGAUAUCACGCAGAACUCCGAUUGCGAAGGCAGCAUACCGGCGCGCAACUGACGCUCAUGCACGAAAGCGUGGGUAUCGAACAGGAUUAGAUACCCCUGUAGUC